UACGUAGGGCGCAAGCGUUGUUCGGAAUUACUGGGCGUAAAGGGCGCGUAGGCGGUCUUUUAAGUCUUGUGUGAAAUCCCUCGGCUCAACUGAGGAACUGCACGGGAUACUGGAAGACUUGAGUUCGGGAGAGGGAAGCGGAAUUCCGGGUGUAGCGGUGAAAUGCGUAGAUAUCCGGAGGAACACCGGUGGCGAAGGCGGCUUCCUGGACCGAUUACUGACGCUGAUGCGCGAAAGCUAGGGGAGCAAACGGG
rnacentral:rRNA from 1 species